GUUUAAAAAGGAGAGAAACAUUUUAACAUUUCAAACAGGCACUUAACCAUCAGCUGGUGUUGAUCCUCUCCAAACUAACAGCAGCAACAGAGAAAGACAAAAUGAAAGUCAUUCUCCUGACUUCCAUCAUCUUCACUCUAGCCAUUGUUCACUCUGCCAAUAUAAUGAACAGCAACAGCGUACCAGAUCGCUCAAGGCCCUGUCAUCAGAGAAACGACAGUGAGGCAUUCCAAAGAUUCAGAGGGAAACACAUCCUUCCAUUUCGGUUUGACACAAAUAAUCCACAGGCAUGGGAAAGUCUCUCAAAAGUUCGA